AGAUUGAACGCUGGCGGCAUGCCUUACACAUGCAAGUCGAACGGCAGCACGGGAGCAAUCCUGGUGGCGAGCGGCGAACGGGUGAGUAAUACAUCGGAACGUGCCUAGUAGUGGGGGGAUAGCCCGGCGAAAGCCGGAUUAAUACCGCAUACGACCUACGGGUGAAAGCGGGGGAAUCGCAAGACCUCGCGCUAUUGGAGCGGCUGGAUGUCAGGUAUUUAGGGUAGUUUGGGUACGGGGUAAAAAGCCCGUAACCAAAGGCCCGGAACGAUCUAGUAGCUGGUACUGGAGAGGACGACCAGCCACACUGGGACUGACGACGACCGGCCCAGACCUCCGUACGGGAGCAAGUCAAGGUGGGGAACUUUUGGGACUAAGU
rnacentral:rRNA from 1 species